CUUGACAUCCAGCGAACUUGGCAGAGAUGCCUUGGUGCCUUCGGGAACGCUGAGACAGGUGUUGCAUGGCUGUCGUCAGCUCGUGUUGUGAAAUGUUGGGUUAAGUCCCGNAACGAGCGCAACCCUUAUCCUUUGUUGCCAGCGAUUCGGUCGGGAACUCAAAGGAGACUGCCGGUGAUAAACCGGAGGAAGGUGGGGAUGACGUCAAGUCAUCAUGGCCCUUACGAGUAGGGCUACACACGUGCUACAAUGGCGCAUACAAAGAGAAGCGACCUCGCGAGAGCAAGCGGACCUCAUAAAGUGCGUCGUAGUCCGGAUCGGAGUCUGCAACUCGACUCCGUGAAGUCGGAAUCGCUAGUAAUCGUGGAUCAGAAUGCCACGGUGAAUACGUUCCCGGGCCUUGUACACACCGCCCGUCACACCAUGGGAGUGGGUUGCAAAAGAAGUAGGUAGCUUAACCCUCGGGAGGGCGCUUACCACUUUGUGAUUCAUGACUGGGGUGAAGUCGUAACAAGGUAAGCGUAGCGAG
rnacentral:rRNA from 1 species